AAGUCGUAACAAGGUUUCCGUAGGUGAACCUGCGGAAGGAUCAUUAGAAAUUUUUUAUGUAUUCAAAAUUUCAAUCUAUAAAAAAUUUUGUAUUUUUAUUUAUAUAAAAUAAAAAAAAGACAACUUUCAACAACGGAUCUCUUGGCUCUU
rnacentral:misc_RNA from 1 species